UUUCAUCUUAGCCACGCAGAAGUCGCUUGUCUAGGUGAGUCGCGGUGGGUCCCCGCUUGCAGUUCAGCUACCACGUUUGUUUCGACGCCGGACCGCGUAAGAGACGAUGAUGUUGGGCACCGAAGGUGGAGAGGGAUUCGUGGUGAAGGUCCGGGGCUUGCCCUGGUCUUGCUCGGCCGAUGAAGUGCAGAGGUUUUUUUCUGACUGCAAAAUUCAAAAUGGGGCUCAAGGUAUUCGUUUCAUCUACACCAGAGAAGGCAGACCAAGUGGCGAGGCUUUUGUUGAACUUGAAUCAGAAGAUGAAGUCAAAUUGGCCCUGAAAAAAGACAGAGAAACUAUGGGACACAGAUAUGUUGAAGUAUUCAAGUCAAACAACGUUGAAAUGGAUUGGGUGUUGAAGCAUACUGGUCCAAAUAGUCCUGACACGGCCAAUGAUGGCUUUGUACGGCUUAGAGGACUUCCCUUUGGAUGUAGCAAGGAAGAAAUUGUUCAGUUCUUCUCAGGUAUAUUGAAAUCUUUAAGAGCAGUAGAGCUGAAGUUAGAACUCACUAUGAUCCACCACGAAAGCUUAUGGCCAUGCAGCGGCCAGGUCCCUAUGACAGACCUGGGGCUGGCAGAGGGUAUAACAGCAUUGGCAGAGGAGCUGGCUUUGAGAGGAUGAGGCGUGGUGCUUAUGGUGGAGGUACGUGAGGAUUCGCAAGGUUUGGCAAGUAGUCUGUUCCUUUGUCUAGGUGUUUUGAUUGAUUGUACUUUGUCUUUCAGGCUAUGGAGGCUAUGACGAUUACAAUGGCUAUAAUGAUGGCUAUGGAUUUGGGUCAGAUAGAUUUGGAAGAGGUAAGGUAAGAAUUGAAUUUCUCAGUUGAAGGAUGCUUACACUCUUGUCCAUCUAGACCUCAAUUACUGUUUUUCAGGAAUGUCUGAUCACAGAUACGGGGAUGGUGGCUCUACUUUCCAGAGCACAACAGGACACUGUGUACACAUGCGUGGAUUACCUUACAGAGCUACUGAGAAUGACAUUUAUAAUUUUUUUUCACCGCUCAAUCCUGUGAGAGUACACAUUGAAAUUGGUCCUGAUGGCAGAGUAACUGGUGAAGCAGAUGUCGAGUUCGCAACUCAUGAAGAUGCUGUGGCAGCUAUGUCAAAAGACAAAGCAAAUAUGCAACACAGAUAUGUAGAACUCUUCUUGAAUUCUACAGCAGGAGCAAGCGGUGGUGCUUACGGUAGCCAAAUGCUAGGAGGCAUGGGUUUGUGUAAAUAUCACUUUAGUGUCUUUUUUUAAGCUAACCUUGUAUGCCUUUUCUCUCAUUUCAGAACACAGAUAUGUAGAACUCUUCUUGAAUUCUACAGCAGGAGCAAGCGGUGGUGCUUAUGGUAGCCAAAUGAUGGGAGGCAUGGGCUUGUGUAAAUAUCGUUAGUUUUUUUAAAAACCAAAACGUUUAUAUCUGUAUAAGUCAAUUAUAAGUUAAGUUAAUCUAUUUAAUAAGUUUAGCAUAACAAACUUA
rnacentral:sRNA from 1 species